rnacentral:rRNA from 1 species
UACAGAGGUCUCAACCGUUGUUCGGAUUCAUUGGGCGUAAAGGGUGCGUAGGCGGUCGUGCAAGUCGGAUGUGAAAUCUCAGGGCUCAACCCUGAAACUGCAUUCGAUACUGCGUGGCUAGAGUGCUGGAGAGGAGACUGGAAUUUACGGUGUAGCAGUGAAAUGCGUAGAUAUCGUAAGGAAGACCAGUGGCGAAGGCGGCUCUCUGGAACGCAACUGACGCUGAGACGCGAAAGCGUGGGGAGCAAACAGG